GCAAGUCGAGGGGUAACAGGGUAGCAAUACCGCUGACGACCGGCGCACUGGUGAGUAACGCGUAUGCAACCUGCCUAUAACUGGGGAAUAGCUCCCUGAAAGGGGAAUUAACACCGCAUAACACUAUUGAUUCGCAUGGAUUGGUAGUUAAAUGUAGCGAUACAGGUUAUAGAUGGGCAUGCGUGACAUUAGCUAGUUGGUGAGGUAACGGCUCACCAAGGCUACGAUGUCUAGGGGUUCUGAGAGGAAGGUCCCCCACACUGGUACUGAGACACGGACCAGACUCCUACGGGAGGCAGCAGUGAGGAAUAUUGGUCAAUGGGCGCAAGCCUGAACCAGCCAUGUCGCGUGCAGGAAGACUGCCCUAUGGGUUGUAAACUGCUUUUAUAGUAGAAGAAACACAUCUACGCGUAGAUGUCUGCCAGUAUACUAUGAAUAAGCAUCGGCUAACUCCGUGCCAGCAGCCGCGGUAAUACGGAGGAUGCAAGCGUUAUCCGGAUUUAUUGGGUUUAAAGGGUGCGUAGGCGGGACUGUAAGUCAGGGGUGAAAUACUGCAGCUUAACUGUAGCAUUGCCUUUGAAACUGCCGUUCUUGAGUACAGUUGAGGUAGGCGGAAUGUGGUGUGUAGCGGUGAAAUGCAUAGAUAUACCACAGAACGCCGAUUGCGAAGGCAGCUUACUAAGCUGUUACUGACGCUGAGGCACGAAAGCGUGGGGAUCAAACAGGAUUAGAUACCCUGGUAGUCCACGUUGUAAACGAUGGGUGCUAGGUGUUGGAGGUAUCGAUCCCUCCAGUGCCGCAGUAAACGCAAUAAGCACCCCGCCUGGGGACUACGGCCGCAAGGCUGAAACUCAAAGGAAUUGACGGGGGCCCGCACAAGCGGUGGAGCAUGUGGUUUAAUUCGACGCAACGCGAAGAACCUUACCAGGGCUUGACAUCCACAGUACUCGGUGGAAACACUGGGGUGCCCUUCGGGGAACUGUGAGACAGGUGGUGCAUGGUUGUCGUCAGCUCGUGUCGUGAGAUGUUGGGUUAAGUCCCGCAACGAGCGCAACCCCUAUACUUUGUUGCCAGCACUUCGGGUGGGUACUCAAAGUAGACUGCCAGAGACAAUCUGGAGGAAGGUGGGGACGACGUCAAAUCAUCAUGCCCCUUAUGCUCUGGGCGACACACGUGCUACAAUGGUCGGCACAGAGGGCAGCGAACCCGCGAGGGGGAGCGAAUCCCUAAAACCGGCCCUAGUUCGGAUUGCAGGCUGCAACUCGCCUGCAUGAAGCAGGAAUCGCUAGUAAUCGCGGAUCAGCAUGCCGCGGUGAAUACGUUCCCGGGCCUUGUACACACCGCCCGUCACACCACGAAAGUGGUAACACCCGAAGCCGGUGGACUAACC
rnacentral:rRNA from 1 species